UACGUAGGGGGCAAGCGUUGUCCGGAUUUAUUGGGCGUAAAGAGCUUGUAGGCGGUUUGUCGCGUCUGCUGUGAAAAUCCGGGGCUCAACCCCGGACUUGCAGUGGGUACGGGCAGACUAGAGUGUGGUAGGGGAGACUGGAAUUCCUGGUGUAGCGGUGAAAUGCGCAGAUAUCAGGAGGAACACCGAUGGCGAAGGCAGGCUCUGGUC
rnacentral:rRNA from 1 species